rnacentral:ncRNA from 1 species
UAAAGGCUUGGUCCUGACUUUAUUAUCAACUUUUGCUAAACUUACACAUGCAAGUCUCCGCACCCCAGUGAGGAUGCCCUUAAUCCCUUAGCUAGGGAUGAGGAGCCGGUAUCAGGCACACACUAGAGUAGCCCAAGACGCCUUGCUAAGCCACACCCCCAAGGGAUUUCAGCAGUGAUAGAUAUUAAGCCAUGAGCGAAAGCUUGACUUAGUUAAAGUAGAUUAGGGCCGGUAAAACUCGUGCCAGCUACCGCGGUUAUACGAGAGGCCCAAGUGGAUAAAUAUCGGCGUAAAGCGUGGUUAAAGCUUAUCUAGAACUAAAGACGAACAUUUUCUUGGCUGUUAUACGCAUCCGAAAACGAGAAGAACACUAACGAAAGUGGCUUUAAAUUACUUGAACCCACGACAGCUAUGAUACAAACUGGGAUCAGAUACCCCACUAUGCUUAGCCAUAAACUGACAGUGAAUUACAAUUCUGUCCGCCAGGGAACUACAAGCGCCAGCUUAAAACCCAAAGGACUUGGCGGUGCCUCAGACCCACCUAGAGGAGCCUGUUCUGUAACCGAUAACCCCCGUUAAACCUCACCCCUCCUUGUUUUUUCCGCCUAUAUACCGCCGUCGUCAGCAUACCCUGUGAAGGAAACAUAGUAUGCAAAGUGGGCACUCCCCAAAACGUCAGGUCGAGGUGUAGCGAAUGGAGAGGGAAGAAAUGGGCUACAUUCUCUAAUUUAGAGCACUACGAAAGGGGCUGUGAAACCAGCCCCCGAAGGUGGAUUUAGCAGUAAAUAAAAGCUAGAGUAUUUUGUUGAAAUUGGCUCUGAAGCGCGCACACACCGCCCGUCACUCUCCCCAAGUUAGCUUUUACAAUUUAUAAAAUUAAUAAUAAACAAAGAGGAGGCAAGUCGUAACAUGGUAAGUGUACCGGAAGGUGUACUUGGAUAAAC